AGAGUUUGAUCAUGGCUCAGAACGAACGUUGGCGGCAUGGAUUAGGCAUGCAAGUCGAGGGAAUCCCGCAAGGGGGAACCGGCGUAAGGGGCAGUAAGGCGUGGGUACCUGCCGCGGGGUCCGGCAUAGCCCUUCGAGAGAAGGGGUAAUUCCGGAUGAUCUCGGGAGAGCAAAGGUCCGCCGCCCUGUGAGGGGCCCACGUGGUAUUACCUAGUUGGCGGGGUGACGGCCCACCAAGGGGAAGAUGCCUAGCGGGUGUGAGAGCACGACCCGCGCCACUGGCACUGAGACACUGGCCAGACACCUACGGGUGGCUGCAGUCGAGGAUCUUCGGCAAUGGGGGCAACCCUGACCGAGCGAUGCCGCGUGUGUGACGAAGGCCUUCGGGUUGUAAAGCACUGUCGAGGGGGAGAAAAGCCGCAAGGUUUGAUCUAGCCCUGGAGGAAGCUCGGGCUAAGUUCGUGCCAGCCGCCGCGGUAAUAC
rnacentral:rRNA from 1 species